CCAUAGGAUACGCGCUAAUAUGCAACCAAUCUUCGCAAGGUAAUACCUAGCGGUGGUUGUGCGGAGAAACUAUGUGUGGGGAGUAGUUUUAGCACGUAAGCACCAUGGAUGGCGAAUCGUGCAUGCUGCUGGCAUGAAACAGUAGUAUCUUGCGAAGAUUUCUACUUCCAGC
rfam:Glossina morsitans morsitans, isolate Yale, WGS project CCAG01000000 data, contig: ctg10016939